GCUCCAAUAGCGUAUAUUUAAGUUGUUGCAGUUAAAAAGCUCGUAGUUGGAUUUCGGGCGGGGCCUGCCGGUCCGCCUUUCGGUGUGCACUGGCAGGGUCCGCCUUGCUGCCGGGGACGGGUUCCUGGGCUUCACUGUCUGGGACUCGGAGUCGGCGUGGUUACUUUGAGUAAAUUAGAGUGUUCAAAGCAGGCCUGACG
rnacentral:rRNA from 1 species